rnacentral:rRNA from 1 species
UACAGAGGGUGCGAGCGUUGUUCGGAAUCAUUGGGCGUAAAGCGCUUGUAGGCGGCCUGUCAAGUCGCGUGUGAAAUCCCUUGGCUUAACCAAGGAAGUGCGCGCGAAACUGGCGGGCUUGAGUGCCGGAGAGGGUCGCGGAAUUCCCGGUGUAGAGGUGAAAUUCGUAGAUAUCGGGAGGAACACCAGUGGCGAAGGCGGCGACCUGGACGGACACUGACGCUGAGGCACGAAGGUCAGGGGAGCAAACGGG